CCUACGGGUGACAGCAGUGGGGAAUAUUGCACAAUGGGGGAAACCCUGAUGCAGCGACGCCGCGUGAAGGAAGAAGUAUUUCGGUAUGUAAACUUCUAUCAGCAGGGAAGAAAAUGACGGUACCUGACUAAGAAGCCCCGGCUAACUACGUGCCAGCAGCCGCGGUAAUACGUAGGGGGCAAGCGUUAUCCGGAUUUACUGGGUGUAAGGGGAGCGUAGAGGGCGAUGCAAGCCUGAGGGGAAGGCGGGGGCCCAACCCCCGGACUGCUUUGGAAACUGGAUGGCUGGAGUGCAGGAGAGGAGAGUGGAAUUCCUAGUGUAGCGGUGAAAUGCGUAGAUAUUAGGAGGAACACCAGUGGCGAAGGCGGCUUACUGGACUGUAACUGACGUUGAGGCUCGAAAGCGUGGGGAGCAAACAGGAUUAGAUACCCUGGUAGUC
rnacentral:rRNA from 1 species